rnacentral:rRNA from 1 species
AGCGAACGCUGGCGGCAGGCUUAACACAUGCAAGUCGAACGAUCCCUUCGGGGGUAGUGGCGGACGGGUGAGUAACACGUGGGAACGUGCCUUUUGGUUCGGAACAACACAGGGAAACUUGUGCUAAUACCGGAUGUGCCCUUCGGGGAAAGGAUUUAUCGCCAUUAGAGCGGCCCGCGUCUGAUUAGCUAGUUGGUGAGGUAAAGGCUCACCAAGGCUACGAUCAGUAGCUGGUCUGAGAGGAUGAUCAGCCACACUGGGACUGAGACACGGCCCAGACUCCUACGGGAGGCAGCAGUGGGGAAUCUUGCGCAAUGGGGGAAACCCUGACGCAGCCAUGCCGCGUGAAUGAUGAAGGUCUUAGGAUUGUAAAAUUCUUUCAGCGGGGACGAUAAUGACGGUACCCGCAGAAGAAGCUCCGGCUAACUUCGUGCCAGCCGCCG